AGGGAUGUAGCGCAGC
rnacentral:tRNA from 3 species